rnacentral:lncRNA from 1 species
AUGAAAGCAAACAAAAUAAUCAUAAUAUCUAUUUUACCCUUGGAUUUUAGGAUUUUCUCAAAUUGGAUUUCAUCCAUACUCUUUAAACCCCAUUUCUCAAACUGCGUAGUUAUAGGCAUAGUAUUUUCUCUGAUUAAUUCUGAUUAUAUUUUUCNNNNNNNAAAAUUUGAUGAAGAAACAUGAAAAUAAUUAUCAUUAGCAAAACAAUUAAGCUCUUACCCCUGUCUGACUUUUUAGAGCAGUAAAGCAUCCAACUUUCGAAAUCAACAAAAAUCUCUGUAUUUAAAAAAAACAACAAAAUCAUCAUAAUGAGCAAUAAAAUCCAAUGGCAAUAGAAAGAGGAUAAUCGUCAAAAAAAAUAAAAUAAAAAAAUAGAAAGAGGAUUAGAAAGAGGAACGAAAAGAAAAUUAGGGAUCUGGAAAAAGAACAAAACUGAAAUUACCUGCUGGAUGGGUCUUGAAACAGGUUGGAGGAUUUGAUUGAGAAGACUGAGAAGAAAAAUAAAUUUGCAAACAUAGACAAAAAAAAGAAACAGGUCACAUAAAAAUCAGAUGAUGAAAUUAAAUCCAUAAAAUAACAGAUGGAGAAGCA